GCAGUGCAUGCUACUCAAGAGGCUGAGAUGGGAGGAUCACUUGAGCCCAGGAGUUCUGGGCUGUAGUGCUCUAUGCCAGUGGUGUAUCCACACUAAGUUCAACUAAAAUAUGGCAGCUCUCUGGGAGAAGGGACCACCCUGUUACCACCUGAGGAGGGGUGAACUGGCCCAGGUCAGAAAUGGAGCAGGUCAAAACUCCCAUUCUGAUCAGUAGUGGGAUUGCACCUGUGAAUAGCCACUGCACUCCAACCUGGACAACAUAGCAAGAACCUGUCUCU
rnacentral:SRP_RNA from 1 species